rnacentral:rRNA from 1 species
UACGUAGGUGGCAAGCGUUACUCGGAAUCACUAGGCGUAAAGCGCAGGUAGGCGGCUUGAUAAGUCUGUUGUGAAAGCUCCUGGCUUAACUGGGAGAGGUCAACGGAAACUGUCAGGAUAGAGUGUGGUAGGGAAACUGGAAUUCCCGGUGUAGCGGUGAAAUGCGUAGAUAUCGGGAGGAAUACCUAUGGCGAAAGCAGGUUU